rnacentral:lncRNA from 1 species
CCUAGACCCGCUGACUGUGGGUCGCGCCCUCUUCGCUGGGGUUUGGCUGGGGAUCCAAACCCGGAGCAGGCUCUGGAGAGAGUGUCGUCCACGCGACCAGCACAUGUAUGGCGGCUCAGGGACCUCAGGGUUGGCGGCGUGAUGGGCGUGAGCACCUGUCCCUUGGGACACCUCGAGGAACCAACGUGGAAUGAGUGUAGAGGACGGUGCCAACAGGCAGUGUAUGGAACAGGGAUGCAUGAAAAGAAAGGACCGCGGAACCCAUUGUGCUCUAUCACUUGGUGACUUUGCCACUGGACCCAACAAGAACGGAAAUUCCUGGCUCCCAGGGCCAUCCCGGCGUGGGAAGCUUGUCGCGGACCCUUUAAGGCUCCAUCUCCCUGCCCUUCCCCGCCCAGGACAGGCCGGGACACCGGGGACCUGACAUUUGGCGGAGUAUACUGUGGGAGCUAAAAAUAGUCGCCGCUAGGGGUUACUUCGGGGCAUUGUUCUUCACACACCCCGCGCGCGCGGGCUCGCACGCUCUGUGUCAUGCUAUUGGAGUUCUCCCCUCCCCGGGCAAGUACACCUGGCCCAUCCCCACGUCUUCGUCCUAGCAGCCUG